ACUCCUACGGGAGGCAGCAGUGGGGAAUAUUGCACAAUGGGGAAACCCUGAUGCAGCCAUGCCGCGUGUGUGAAGAAGGCCUCGGUUGUAAGCACUUCAGUAGGGAGGAAGGUAGUGUAGUUAACACCUGCACUAUUUGACGUUACCUACAGAAGAAGCACCGGCUAACUCCGUGCCAGCAGCCGCGGUAAUACGGAGGGGUGCGAGCGUUAAUCGGAAUUACUGGGCGUAAAGCGCAUGCAGGCGGCCUGUUAAGUCAGAUGUGAAAGCCCGGGGGCUUAACCUCGGAAUUGCAUUUGAAACUGGCAGGCUAGAGUCUUGUAGAGGGGGUAGAAUUUCAGGUGUAGCGGUGAAAUGCGUAGAGAUCUGAAGGAAUACCGGUGGCGAAGGCGGCCCCCGUCGGACAGAUACUGACACUCAGAUGCGAAAGCUGGGGAGCAAACAGGAUUAGAUACCCUGGUAGG
rnacentral:rRNA from 1 species